rnacentral:misc_RNA from 1 species
UAAAAGAACAACACACCUUCCAUUCACUCUCUCAUGUUGUCUUCAUGUUCCUCACUCAGAUCAAGAUCCGCAAACAACUCUUCUAAAGACUCCUCUAGUGAUAGGUUGAAUCUCAAAUCGGGGUUCUCUUCCAGAUCUCUACAGAAUUCUUCAUACUCUGAGACCCCAGACUCGUCAACUUCCAUGUUUGUCAAGGAACUUUUGCAUCCAUAGGCAUCCCUAUGCUUCCUCUGAUUGCUU